GAGCUGGCUUUUAUUUCUCCUUGCCAGCACCAGGAAGGGAGUUGGAUAGGGAGCCCUUCCCUCUUGUGAAAGUCUUUUGCCUGGAUUUGGGUUGCUUGGUGCUGUGCUUGGGCUGAUGGUGACCUCGUGGAGUUCAUCACCACCUUUGGGACAUGGCUGCAGUCCUCAGCAUCUCCCAGCACUGCCCUCGCUUUCCAGAGCGGCACCUACGAGCCCAGCAGGAUUAUUGAUUCAACACGCUGAUUCUGUCCUGUGUGAACCCAUCUCCUGGAUGCCAGCACCAGAGAUUUUGGAGGUGUAGGAGGCCAAGGCUGCACAAAGGGCACCGUCUCUCCUGCUGAUUGCCAUUGCAUUCCUGCGUUCUGCAUUGCUGUGCCCGUGCAGAGGGCUGGGGUUGCCUUCCCAGCUGUUUCUUAUCACGGAUGCAUCGCGUCAGGAGGGAAGCCCCUCGUGUGACCUGAGACAUCCCACACUCCUGAAGCGUCUGCAGCGCUGCAAUACUUCUUGUCAAACUGAUCCUCGACCUCCUUUCAUCGCUUUAAGGUUACGGUGCUCCCUGGUGACUGCAGGGUGUGAGGCAAUGCUGAGUUCUGGCUAUGCAAUUAAACUGCAUGAAGCGCUUCACCCACUUAUGUGAUCGUUUUCAUAUGUUUUCUUAUUGGUAUUUACUACAAUACGUUACAUUCCGCUAUUUCCGCUUGGAAACGAGCGUUUGGCUGCAGGAGCAGAGAGGGGAGAAGAAAGGGAGUCAGAUCUGCCCUCUUGCCACAGGGGGAAGGCAAAUUGCUGAGCAAACGAUGAGCGCAGCGGGCACCCAGCCACUCCUCGCCGCGCUCGGGCUCAGCCACCAUCAACGUUUUUCCAUCUCGAAUUCGCCGAUCCGCUGCGCUGCUCUUUCUGACCACACUCCUUUGUUUAUUCCCCAACCGCUUCAGAUGAGCAAAUCUGCACUGGCAAGAACAUUUGUGGGAAAGCAACAUCACGUCGCAUACUUGCGCGAGUAAAUAUUCACAGGAGGAUCCACGUCGAAAGCGCUCGCACGGCCGUCGGCGAAUUCUCUCCCAGUUACUCAGCAGAGAGAGCUGUUGAAUGUCUAUAGCUGUUCGGUGGGCAACUGGCAGGCGGGUUGGGAAGACGUGUGACGUAUCAAAGCCUUUGAUCAUCAGUGCUGUUCCUAUCAGGGAUAGGAAUGAAAGCAUCUGCCCUGGGUUGACUGAUGGAGUGGCGCUUCGUAGCCACGCAUUGGGUCUGCCCAUGUAGGCUGCUCAUCAGAGCUGAGUGCGUGUGGAUGGGCUGUUCAUAGAUUGUUAUGGCUUCAGCUGGGGGCUGGGUUUGCAGGAUAAAUGAGCAGAGCGUUACUUGACCGACAUGAAGGGAAUAUGAAGACUUUAUUUACCUUUCAAUUCUGAGUGUUCUUGUUAGCAAUUAAUGUGUGCGCUUCUGGAGAGCUGCUACUGAGUGAUGAUUAUCUCAUGGGAUUCCCAAAUUCUCUGCUCUGAGUGCCCUGUUCUCAUAGAUGCUGUUGUCUGGUUUUCUGUUUUGGAAAAAGCAGCUCUUGCCUUUGACACCCAGAUAGACUGGGCUUCCCAAGAGUGAACUGUUGCUGCUUGAUUGACUGCUCUGUUUUCCUGGGAGUUUCUCUGUAGAGGAGAAGAAAGCACUGAUAAAUUGUUCCAGUUGUGGACAAACGUGGGUUUUGUUGGAUGCUUUUUUAUGGAGGCCGACUGCCGUGCAGAACUUGUUAUUCUUUCAGUUGGUUGACAAAGGUGGGUGAAAUACAGCUGGGUACUUUUUGGAAGUGCUGGACUUGAGUCUUAAGAAAGCAAUUAGCAUUUUACAGCAUCAAGCACACAUACCAAGCGGAUUAAGAAUUGGCUGCUACAUCUGAGAAAAGAGUCAUCAUCAGGGAACCCUCAUGAAAUAAGAGAGGUUGCUAGCUGGGCCGUGUGGAGUUUGGCACAUUGUUAUUCCAUCGUCUCAUCAGCAACCUAGAGUCAAGAUGGAAUUACUGCUGAUAAAGCUUUUGUACAGCUCAUGCUUUGGCUGGGAAGCGCGGAGCAGGGAGCGCAGAAGCGAUGCCAUGUGGUCUGGAAGGCUUUGGUGAGCUCAGCCCACGGAAACUCAUCGUGCUUUGAUGCAGAUGCAGUUCCACAUCUGAGAGCUGUGCAGGCAGGAGGUACCUGUGAUAAAUAAUCGUGCCAAAGGAUGGGGCUGUCACAGAAUGAGGUCCCCGUGUUCCUAGCUGGCAAAAAAAGAGGUCAUGGCAGUGCUGGGCUGUGCGUAUAGGAGGGCUGCGUGUUCUCAUCAUGCUAUGGGUUGGAUCUUGUUUAUUUUGCAAAGGGCUGUGAAUGCAGUCAAGGGGGAAGGGGAAAGCUAUAGAUAAACAGUGUGAGAGCUGGGGGAAGCGAGAUAUUUAACCCACUGAAUUUAUGGGGAAAAAAAUGAAGUGAUUUGGUAUUUAUGCACAGGGAUAAUUGGGGGGGGAAGCUUUGGAAACAAGGCAAUGCAAAUCCUAGCUGGAAGCAGAAACUAACACAUUGACUUAGAUGUGAAGCAUGUAUUUGAGUACAAGCACUACAGAGGACUUAGCAUCUCUUAAUGCUUGGCAAAUGGAGGCUGUGUGCCCAGGGAGGGACGUUUAGCCAGAGCUCAAACGAGGUUGUGGUUGUAGGGCUUCAGUUUUUGGGCUUGGCACAGCUGGGUGCUUGGAUGACUGUAGUGGUUGGUGUGCUGCAGGAGGUCAGAAUGAUAGCACCAUCCCUGCAGGACUCCAGUGCGUUUGUCCAUAAAGCUUUGCAAACUCUGUUAUAUUCCAAUGGAAAGAAUUGAUGUUUUUGGGAGGAGGGACUGAGACUUGUGACCAUGACCACGUCUUCGUUGGCUGGAGCGUGGCACCAGGCAGUGCAGGCACUGCUAUUUUCACAUCUUCUCUGGUACCUUCUCCAGGAGUUGAAGCACUUGGGGCUGGUGUGUGCUAUCAGCUAUAGGGCUCUGGAGUUUUCCCUUGUCACAGCUCAUGGUAAAUGAUAACUAGGUCGAAGGCUGGCCAAAUAAAGCAGUUUUUAUUAAGCAUCUUAAGUCGUCUUUACAAAGCGGUGUGGUUUUUCACCUUGUUGCAGGAGCUCUGAGGUAUAGGCCAACUGUUGAGGCAAGGGAGGCUCUUGGUGUGUUUAUCCUUCCUUUCAUCUCUAUCUUCUCUUCGAGACACCUAGCUCGGAGAUGCUCUGCUAUUUCCCAGACCUCGUAUCAAAAGAGGUGCUUGCAGUGAGGCAGAGCCGUGAUCAUCUUUCCCCUUCCCCACUCUCCCAAUAUCUCCUACACCAUCCCCUGAAGAAAGCAUUCCUUUUAGUAAAAGAAAACAUUUUUGGUUUUUUAUUUAGAAGCAUGUUCUCAGAUCAAGUGCAUUGCUUGUGAUUUCUGGUUCUCAUCCACUGCUAUGCUAUGUUGUGGUGGAGCAGGGGGGACUGAUCUCAGUGAUGUUCUGUUCCCUGGAGAUCCUUAAGCCAACAGUGCCUUUCUGGCAGCCCAACAGGAGCCCACUCUUCUUCUUGAUCAAAUUCCGUUUUGCUUCUAUUAUUGUGGAAUUGAGCAAGCAGGAGAUUGCUCACUUUCUGGUUUAAUCAUCACUGUUGCGUUAAAUGGUUCCCAGAUCGGAGCUUAGUGCCUCUAAGCAAUAGGUAAAAUAAUCUUCUCUAUCUGCAUCCCUUUGGAAUAGGGAUGAAGGAUGCUGUUUGUUGCUGUGAUGUUGUUACCUCCGCAGCUCUCGUGGCCUGGAGACAGCAGGCUUGGGCUCCAUGACUGGCGAUUAGGGGUUUUGGUGGUGCUCAUUCUUUGUUGUUGUCGUUUGGCUGCAGAUGGGGAGGAAAUACCUUGGUGUUGUCAGCUGAAAUGUAAACAGAGCGGCCAUCAGCAGUCAGGAGUCAUUGAGGUUCAUCUGCUCUUGCGUUCCCUCGUAACCAUGGGAGAAGCAGAUUAACGUGAAGAACACUGAUGCAUGCAUGUGGUUUUGUGCAUUUAAAGCUAACCAGAUGUUUGAAACAUCUUUCUGAAAUACAGAUGAUGAUAUAAUGACUCCAUAGCAAUAGAGAGCGUUGGCAAGGGAGACUUGAAUAUCCCCCAGUGUGGCAUGUAGCGAUGAACUCCUGAUUCGUAGGCUCAGAUGAGUUCAGGAAGUUCACAGGCCAUGUAAGGACAACAAAUCUUUGUUCCAGGCAUGUGCUUUGUCCUUGGUAACACAAACACUGCUGGACUGAGGCCGUCUUCAGGUUAUUUAAUACAAGGAAAGCCUCCACUGGCCGAUAGACUUGGCACUUGCGGGAUGCCUCUCAUCCAGAAGCUUUAUACAACGCUCCUGCUGGGAAGUCCUGUUGUUGGAUGGGGCAGAGGGAUGGGCUGGGAUGCUGUGUAGGAUGGAUGGGCUAGGCUGCCACGUGGGUUGGAGGGAUGGAAUGGUGGGAGAUGGGGUGGGAUGCCAUGUGGGAUGGAGGGUUGGUGUGGGCUGAGAUGCCAUGUAGGACUGAGGGUUGGCAUAGGCUGGGGUGCCAUGUAGGAUGGAGAGAUGAGCUGCCUGUGGUCACCAGUGCUCAGUAGGGCUGAGGCACAAUGCUCUGCUUGUCCUAUGGUGAAGGGCUCAUUCUUGUGUACAAAGAGGAGAAAGCAUUUGAGAGGCAGACACACAAUGAUUAGGCAGAUACGGGGUUUGGCCUCUUACAUUUUAGCUUUGUAAAUCUUAUAGGUGAAGAAGGGAGUAAUAAAGUGCUCUGGGAUGCAGGUAAUCGGAUACGAAGGCAUUGGCCACAGUUCCUAUUGCUAUUGUCUUUGGAGGAGCCGUGCCUAUAUUUCUCUUUAUAUCAAAUGAACAGAUAGCAAUUUCCUGCCUCACUUGUGUUUCCAGGCCGUAGUCUGCUGCUGUCUUUCCCCUGUAGCAGAAACAUAUGGUGGUGAGAGGAAUGCGGCGUCUGUCAACGCGUGCUGCAGGAGGAAUAAGGAAGCCUAAAAGCGGGGCUUAAUGGGGGGGGGUGCCUGUGUUUUAAAUAAUAAAAACGUCUUUCCCGCUAAUUUGGUUUGGGUGAAUUACAGGAGGAGGGGAGGAAGGCUGUAGGCAAUAAUGCGUGUUGUACUCAGGGAGUGGUGAGCGUCACAAAUGCAGCAGCAGUUGGAGGGAUGUCAGUCUGGGGGCAAAGCUGAAAGCACAGCCUAUGCUUUGCCUGGCAGAUCUGGGAUGGCUUUGCUAAAACGAAGGAACUUCUGCAGUGUUUAUUCUGGAGGAGCAGCAGCUCUGUGUGCUUCCUAACCUCGUACACCUGCUUGCUGCUCUGCUGCUCUGCUUCUGUUCCUUCCACGUCCCCUGCACCCAACUGACAGCAGACUGAGGUCCUGGGAGCGUUGGCACUCCUCUGCCUGAUGCACAAGUCUGAGGCCUCGGUGGUGUCACUGCUUUGCAACCAGUUGCUUUGCUGCUGGAUUCAAUUAGAGGUUCCUUCAGCCUCACAUACUCAAAUUAGAGUGUUUGUUUCAUCCUGAAAUAUUCAGCCAAGCUCCAAUUCCUUACCCGGCUUGGGCUGGACUUCAUGUUCCUCUGAAGCUCUUUGUGCCACAAUCAGUCCAGCACUGAUACCCCCAGCAUAAAGCUGGUGUGUCCUGCACUGUCAUCUCUGGGUUUCUAAUAGGAAAGUGCUAAUGCUGAACAGUUGUGGUAAGAUAAUUGGCUUUUUCUUCUCGUUUUCUGUUCGUGACAAGUGAUCACCUGAGGUGUUUGCAGAUGCUGAGCCAACUGCUGGGUUUGCCUUUGGCUGCACGGUGAAUUCCUUGGAGGAGGUUUAAUUGUGUGAUGCUCACACGGAGUUCCAUCCGCAGCACAAUUAAUUUGUGCUCCGACCCCUGAGCUACAGAACAGUGCCCUCUCGUGUGCAGCACAGAGAUGAGCUGCAAUGAUGGCCUUUCACAGAACCAGAUGUGUUUUUUGGAGAGCUGGUGAGAAAUCGGGACUGACCAUCUCUGUGCUUUUGCUCUGCCUGCUUUUCUGUGAGGCAUCGUGGCCUUGGAGGCUUUUGUGAAUGGAUAAUUCAAGCUAUGUAAGCAAAUAUGUCCUUCUAAGCUGUUUGUAAUCAAUGAAUCAGUGCACUGCACGACUUCAGGAAUAGGGGAGAACAGCUGGCAGGUUUCACCUGUUUUCCUUCUGCUCACACACCAGGGCUAGCAGUAAUGUCAGAAGUUUGCACGCAGGCAGCAGCAUCUGUGCUCAUAUACCAGUAUACCAAAAACUGUAGAGGAAGGUGUAGAAGAUGAC